CCUACGGGAGGCAGCAGUCGGGAAUUUUGGGCAAUGGGCGAAAGCCUGACCCAGCAACGCCGCGUGAAGGAUGAAGUAUUUCGGUAUGUAAACUUCGAAAGAAUAGGAAGAAUCAAUGACGGUACUAUUUAUAAGGUCCGGCUAACUACGUGCCAGCAGCCGCGGUAAUACGUAGGGACCAAGCGUUGUUCGGAUUUACUGGGCGUAAAGGGCGCGUAGGCGGCAUGACAAGUCACUUGUGAAAUCUCCGGGCUUAACUCGGAACGGCCAAGUGAUACUGUCACGCUAGAGUAUUGGAGGGGCAAUCGGAAUUCUUGGUGUAGCGGUGAAAUGCGUAGAUAUCAAGAGGAACACCUGAGGUGAAGACGGGUUGCUGGCCAAAUACUGACGCUGAGGCGCGAAAGCCAGGGGAGCAAACGGGAUUAGAUACCCCGGUAGUCCUGGCCCUAAACGAUGAAUACUUGGUGUCUGGAGUUAUUAAACUCUGGGUGCCGUCGCUAACGUUUAAAGUAUUCCGCCUGGGGAGUACGCUCGCAAGAGUGAAACUCAAAGGAAUUGACGG
rnacentral:rRNA from 1 species